GUGAUCCCCAUCUCAUACCAUUGUGUCCUUGAGUUCUAAGGAGACAAGAACCUACUCAUUAUUGAUGAAUCAUGACAAUGUAAUCAGAGUGUGAUUAAUGGCUCUAAUGAUCUCUCAUCUGAGAGUGUCAUUUGUGGCAAUAGAGGAUCGUUCUCAGACAGUUUUACACACUAGCUGGGAUGGUUACACGGUUGUCUUAUUAUAAAUGAC
rfam:Lupinus angustifolius cultivar Tanjil contig_10903, whole genome shotgun sequence.